rnacentral:rRNA from 1 species
GCGAACAGACGAGGAGCUUGCUCCUCUGACGUUAGCGGCGGACGGGUGAGUAACACGUGGAUAACCUACCUAUAAGACUGGGAUAACUUCGGGAAACCGGAGCUAAUACCGAAUAAUAUAUUGAACCGCAUGGUUCAAUAGUGAAAGACGGUUUUGCUGUCACUUAUAGAUGGAUCCGCGCCGCAUUAGCUAGUUGGUAGGGUAACGGCUUACCAAGGCGACGAUGCGUAGCCGACCUGAGAGGGUGAUCGGCCACACUGGAACUGAGACACGGUCCAGACUCCUACGGGAGGCAGCAGUAGGGAAUCUUCCGCAAUGGGCGAAAGCCUGACGGAGCAACGCCGCGUGAGUGAUGAAGGUCUUCGGAUCGUAAAACUCUGUUAUUAGGGAAGAACAAAUGUGUAAGUAACUAUGCACGUCUUGACGGUACCUAAUCAGAAAGCCACGGCUAACUACGUGCCAGCAGCCGCGGUAAUACGUAGGUGGCAAGCGUUAUCCGGAAUUAUUGGGCGUAGAGCGCGCGUAGGCGGUUUUUUAAGUCUGAUGUGAAAGCCCACGGCUCAACCGUGGAGGGUCAUUGGAAACUGGAAAACUUGAGUGCAGAAGAGGAAAGUGGAAUUCCAUGUGUAGCGGUGAAAUGCGCAGAGAUAUGGAGGAACACCAGUGGCGAAGGCGACUUUCUGGUCUGUAACUGACGCUGAUGUGCGAAAGCGUGGGG